rnacentral:rRNA from 1 species
CCUACGGGAGGCAGCAGUGGGGAAUAUUGGACAAUGGGCGAAAGCCUGAUCCAGCGACGCCGCGUGGGUGAAGAAGGCCUGCGGGUUGUAAAGCCCUUUCGGUGGGGAAGAAAAGCCUCGAGUUAACACCUCGGGGUCUUGACGUAACCCAUAGAAGAAGCACCGGCUAACUCUGUGCCAGCAGCCGCGGUAAUACAGAGGGUGCGAGCGUUAAUCGGAAUUACUGGGCGUAAAGCGCGCGUAGGCGGCUUUGCAAGUCGGGUGUGAAAUCCCCAGGCUUAACCUGGGAACUGCAUUCGAGACUGCAUUGCUAGAGUAUGGGAGAGGGAAGUGGAAUUUCCGGUGUAGCGGUGAAAUGCGUAGAUAUCGGAAGGAACAUCAGUGGCGAAAGCGACUUCCUGGACCAAUACUGACGCUCAUGUGCGAAAGCGUGGGGAGC